AUGUUUCCACUGGGGCCGCAAGAAGUCUUUGGAAAAUGUGCCUUUAACCAGAAAAGGGGUCUUAACACUUCAAUAGUUUACAACCCUGGGGGAAGUGUCUUCUUUGUACCAGGGCUCUGGGGGAGGAGAGGGCACUGUUCUCUGUUUAUUUUGCAUUAUUUUAACGUAUUUUUAUUUGCUUUACUUAAGUUAAUCCUCAUGACAUCUUUGGGAGUGGGUGACUUCUUCAACUUCAGGAACUCCUGCAGGUGCCCAGCUGUUGUUGGGCCGGGAGAUUCAAACGAAUCCGAAAAAGCACCCCUGAGUGGCCUGGUGAUCCAAGGAUGGGCAUCUCCUGGAGACGGGGUGCAAGACGGAUGCAGAAGAGGCAACGGGGGCAGGAUGAAUACUCAGCUGGGCAUUCUGGAAUUUCCAGGGCCAUCUCCUUAAAAUGCAGUAAGAAUUUAUCAGCAUCUCCAGCCCCCACACGAACAGGCCUGGAGGAGACCAGAAUGAAGAGGGACGGACCUGCCUCCUGGAGUCCUGAGGCCCAAGGGCCGGUCCACCGCCUGGCUGUUGUAUCCUCGCAGUUUAUUCUGAGUCUUGGGAUCCUCAACCAUAAACUGGAGAUACCUCUUACCUCACAAGCCCACAGGAUCAGAUGGAGUAAGUGUUAGUCGCUCAGUCUUUACAACCCCAUGGACUGUAGCCCGCCAGGCUCCUCUGUCCACGGGAUUUCCCGGCAAGAGUACUGGAGUGGGUUGCCAUUCCCUUCUCCAGGGGAUCUUCCCGACCCAGGAUCGAGCCCGCGGGCCCUGCAUUGGCUGAUGGACUCUUCACCACUGUGCCACCACGGAGGCCCCCAGAGAGAGUAAAGCUUGUUGCAAAUUGUAAAUUUCUGUGGGAUUGUUUUUUACUGCCGAAACCACCCAUCCAUCACCAGGCAGUUCUUCAAAUAAGAGCCAGAUCUCUCUCCCGUGGCAAGAAUCGUGACUAAUAUAUUCCAGGAUGCUUUGCAUGUUCUCGGCCUUAAAAUAAAACUGCACCCAAACAGGAAUGCA
rnacentral:lncRNA from 1 species